CAAUAAGGCCAGCAUUCACACUGACAGCAGGGACAGCUCUGGAGAAGGGUGGUGCUACAACAGGCAACAUACAAUAGAGAACGCAGCGAUAGAUAUAUUCAGCUUUCUACGUGGGCGGCUGUUCCAGGAGAGCUCCCAUUCACCCAGGGACACACCUGCUGCAAAUGAAUUCUUCAUAAGACGUGAGUGAAGGACUGGAGCAGAACCAGACAGUAACUGUGCUGCAGGCUCAGGAGUACAAUGCUGCCCCGCUGUGCGAUCAGUGUGUGUCAUGUGUUUGUGCUGGUGCUGUGUCUGUCUUCGGCUGAGGACUUCGACUGGACAAAGAACGACCACGGCUCCUUCUAUUAUGGCACUUUUCCAGCUGGAUUUUCGUGGGGUGCCGGCAGUUCAGCCUAUCAAACAGAAGGAGCCUGGGACACAGAUGGAAAAGGACUGAGCAUCUGGGACGUGUUCAGUCAUAAGAAAGGCAAAAUCCAACAAAAUGACACCGGGGACUCAUCUUGUGAGGGCUACCACAAAAUCAAGGAUGAUGUUGGUCUGAUGAAGGAGCUGAAGCUUAACCACUAUCGCUUCUCCAUAUCCUGGCCAAGACUCAUCCCCACUGGCAUUAAGUCUGACCAUAUAAAUGAAAAAGGUAUACAGUACUAUAACGAUCUGAUUGACCACCUGCUGGAGAGCAAGAUCACUCCCAUUGUAACUCUGUAUCACUGGGAUCUUCCACAGUUCUUACAAGAGAGAUAUGGUGGAUGGCAGAAUAUAAGCAUGGUUAAUCAUUUCAAUGAAUUUGCCAACCUGUGCUUCGAAAGAUUUGGAAACAGAAUCAAGUACUGGGUGACUUUCAACAAUCCAUGGUCUGUAGCAGUGGAAGGCUAUGAGACCGGUGAACACGCUCCUGGACUGAGGCUGAGAGGAACAGGAGCAUACAAAGCUGCACAUCACAUAAUCAAGGCACAUGCUAAAGUUUGGCACACGUAUGAUACACAGUGGAGGGCAAAACAAAAAGGUCUGGUCGGCAUCUCUCUGUCUGGAGAUUGGGGGGAGCCGGUGGAUAUCACUAACCAGAAAGACAUCGAAGCAGCUGAGAGAUACGUCCAGUUCUACCUGGGCUGGUUUGCCACACCCAUCUUUCAUGGAGACUACCCUCAAGUGAUGAAAGACUUUAUUGGUAGGAAGAGUGUCCAGCAGGGCCUUGGGACGUCCCGUCUGCCCUCAUUUUCUCCUCAGGAGAAGAGCUACAUCAAGGGGACUUGUGACUUCUUAGGCGUCGGUCACUUCACCACCCGCUACAUCACCCAGAAGAACAACCCAUCAGGUCGUAGCAGCAGCAGCUACUUCACUGACCGGGACCUGGCGGAGCUGGUGGACCCGCGGUGGCCUGACCCCGGGUCUGAGUGGCUCUACGCUGUGCCUUGGGGUUUUAGACGUCUGCUCAACUUUGUCAAGUCUCAGUAUGGAAACCCAAUGAUUUAUGUGACGGAGAAUGGAGUCUCUGAGAAGAUGCUGUGCACAGAGCUGUGUGACGACUGGAGGAUACAGUACUUCAAAGACUACACCAAUGAGAUGCUGAAAGCUAUCAAAGAUGGAGUCAAUGUGAAGGGCUACACCGCAUGGUCCCUGCUGGACAAGUUUGAGUGGGAUGAAGGCUACUCCGAGAGGUUUGGCUUGUACUAUGUGGACUUCAGGAACAAAAACAAGCCUCGCUAUCCCAAAGCUUCUGUUCAGUUUUACAAACGCAUUAUCAGCUCGAAUGGAUUUCCAAAUCAGAGAGAGGUGGAAAACUGGAGGAGGAAGGCAGUGGAGACAUGCUCCUCUAGUAACCAGCUCCUCGCUGCAGCUAGAAGAAAAUCCAAGGAACAUGCAGAACUGCCAAAGGUUUGGCUGGUGCAUGAUGAAAUUUAGAUCUUGAGGAGGAACAGCGGAGUACUGCUGCCAAUAUUCUAAGACUAAUACAUGACCCUUUGACCAGCCACAUGGAGAUGGUAACUGAGAUCGUUGUUCCCACUGUGUGUACACUCUCCAUUUUGCUCAGUGCCGUCUUCCUCAUGUUCCUGCUGCGGAGGCGCAACUAAAACUGUGUGAUGCAUAAACAUCAAUACACAUGCUUGUAUUUAAAUGAAUCUUUUCUUGAAUGGAUGAUGUGUGAACAUAAAUACAUUACUUUUAAGCAAAUAUGUCACUUCAUUACAGUCAUUUGAUGUGCAUACAAUGUUUGCUGAAACAACUGAUUGACAAUUGAGCCUUUUAUAAUGAACUUAAUACUGGGUAAGGGUUAGUGUGAUAAACCCUGCUGCAUGUUGGGAUUUUCUUACAAUAUUGAAUAGGAAUGUUACCAUUGCAAACAGCCCUUGUGUUAUAUUGUACUUUUGUGGUUUGAGUUAUUCAGCCAACAUCUUUCAACUGCAUUAUUGAACAUUAACAAAUUCUGUAAAUGUGAGAAAAAAAAAUCAAGAACACACUACCAGGGACUAAUAUUUAAUUAUUAAAAACAAUUGACAAUAAUACAGUAUAUAAACAAAAACAGAAACUUUGUAAUGUGGUAUAUGGUAUUGCGGAAAGUACAUAUGGCACAUUUACAACAUGUUGAUUACUGUUGAGACAACAGAAAAAGGCAAUAAACAACUCCUUUGUUGUUAAGUUGUGCUCUGUGUGUAAAUUCAUGCAAAGUUGACGAGACUGCAGCAAACCAAGGUGGUGAAGAAGGCAGUAUACUCACUGUCCCCAUUCACUGUUUCAUUUGGGUUAUCUAAAGACAGAACAGAUAAAGAAUAUUACUGUUAU